GUCUCGGAUCCCUGGAGUGCAUGGACGUGCAUCCAACAGAGCCAUGGAUUGUCACCGGUCAUAGCAACAGGGUUCUUUGCAUUUGGAAGAUAGACCCCGAGACAGGUGCGUGUGAG